UAAAGGCCUACCAAGGCGACGAUCCGUAGCUGGUCUGAGAGGACGACCAGCCACACUGGGACUGAGACACGGCCCAGACUCCUACGGGAGGCAGCAGUGGGGAAUUUUGGACAAUGGGGGCAACCCUGAUCCAGCAAUGCCGCGUGUGUGAAGAAGGCCUUCGGGUUGUAAAGCACUUUUGUCCGGAAAGAAAUCCUUUGGGCUAAUACCUUGAGGGGAUGACGGUACCGGAAGAAUAAGCACCGGCUAACUACGUGCCAGCAGCCGCGGUAAUACGUAGGGUGCAAGCGUUAAUCGGAAUUACUGGGCGUAAAGCGUGCGCAGGCGGUUCGCUAAGACAGAUGUGAAAUCCCCGGGCUUAACCUGGGAACUGCAUUUGUGACUGGCGGGCUAGAGUAUGGCAGAGGGGGGUAGAAUUCCACGUGUAGCAGUGAAAUGCGUAGAGAUGUGGAGGAAUACCGAUGGCGAAGGCAG
rnacentral:rRNA from 1 species